UCUUCAGUCUGGCCGUUAUUUCGGUGGAGGGAGCCGGGUGUGGGCUUGCUAAUCGCCAGGUUAGCUAGAGAUCUCCAGCCGACAGAAAUCAUUUUUCCCUGGAGACAAUGGUGGCCUGGAGUGAUUUUUGGCAGUAUGGUGCACAACUGUUCACAAUGAAGACUGAUCUCUUCUUGGGCACCACAAGUCAAUGAUGUAGAAGAUCAAUGUUAUUAAUUGGAAAUCGCACCAAAGGAGGAAGAAGUUUAGCUGACAAGAAAACGGGGUUACAUACGGAGGCUAUCUCCCAGAAGUUGCCUGCAGGUGGAUAUGUGACACUACGCAAGAGGAGGAACCUUCAGAGCACAAACGGGUCUUACACUCACUACGGAGUCAUUGCAGGCACACCUUUGGGACUGAGGGCUAAGCAGAGAAUAUGGAGAAAGUGCAUGGGCCAGACUCCAUGUUGCAAAGGGAGUAGGAUCAUUAUGCACUGGGAAAAAAUCAGAGGGAUGGGAGAGAAGCCAUUACAUGGAGGACACGAGGCACGAUUCUGUCCUUCAGUCAGCACAGCAGCUUUGGAGUGGCACAGAGAUGGAAAUGGAGGGGAGGCACUAUGGGCCAGGUGUGUAGUACUCUGGGCCGGAACUGUGGCAAAACAGGGCCUCUCCCUUCUUUUUUGUCUUAACUGGUAGACCCCGCUCUGCCUACCCCUCGCCUAACCUAGCACCUCAAGGAGCCGUCUCACUUUCCUGUCUCCGGGUAGUUGCUGCCACCACUGUCCCUGUAUGGGGUCCUGGUUAGGCGGGACAGCCUCCUAACCCUCCUCCUCUGCUAGUGGGCCCAAGCGGUUGCGGGACUAUGUGGAACAGAAGAUCUUUCCUCCUUUAUAAAUUCCAAAACUCAUUUAUUUAAUUUCUAACUAUACACAGGCAAUAUACAGUGAACGGAAGGAAUAAAUAAACAGAAACCCCUACUCUAUCUCCCUCUGCUUCUCUACACUCAUGCCCUAAUUAGAUGUUGUGUGGGCAGGCACAAUCCUUGGGUACCUGGGGUUACAUUAGAUCUACAUCUCCCCUCAGAGCCAUCUCUCCCUCAACUCAGCCACCAACUGACAACUUACAACUCCCACUGACUCCCUCCAAUCACAUUCCAUUCCAGAACUGGCCCCUUCCCUCUGCAGCCCAUAGAAAGUUAACCACCAACAGAAUGGUGUUUCUCCACACAGGAGGCACGAUUCUGUCCUUCAGUCAGCACAGCAGCUUUGGAGUGGCACAAAGAUAGGAGAGGGGGCGCUACGGGCCAGGUGUGUAGUACUCUGGGCUGGAACAAAGAACAUUCUGCCUCUGCAAAACACUCAGAGUCUCUGUGGGCUGGACUUCACAAGAAAAGCCAUGCUGGAUAAGAUCAAGGUACGACCAUUUUUAUCUGGACAUUUCAGGGAAACCCAGAAGCAAGGCAUGAAUUCCCUGCUUGCCCCAACCACCAACUAAUGCUGCAAAAGCUGUCCAAAAGAGAUGGGCUUCACUGGAACCAAAGGAAACCUCACUGCUACCAAUGAAUAUCAAAACAGAGGUACAACAACUUUUAAACUAAUCUUAAGGAGAAAGCUGACCUGAGGAGUUUCCAGUUUCAGAGGUUGGAGAGGUGGGGGAAGCUGGUUGAGUGUGGGUUGUGAAGUAUAACAAAUGCUUUCCAGGCCUGGGAGAAUGAGACAUAUUCUCUGAAGACAGGCUCAUUACUUUCAAUAAUGCAAGGUGCCAGAUGUGUUGUCUCCACUUUGUCCUCUGCCUUCUUUGACAGCUUUGAGUGACAAAAAUACCAGUGAAUAUCAAAACAGACGUAUGGUAACUUUUAAAUUAAUCCCAAGGAAAAAGCUGGCCUGAGGAGUUUCCGGUCUCAGAGGUUGGAGAGGUGAGGGAAGCUGGUUGAGUGUGGGUUGUGGAGUACAACAAACACCUUCCAGGCCUGGGAAAAUGAGACAUAGCUUCUGAAGACAGGCUCAUUUAGUCCAAUUACUCGACUUGCCAAAUGGGUCAUCUCUGCUUUGUCUUUGUCCUCCAGACUUUCUUUGACAGCUUUGAGUGACAAAAAUGCCAGUGAAUAUCAAAACGGACAUAUGGUAACUUUUAAACUAAUCCCAAGGAGAAAGCUGACCUGAGCUGGGGAGUUUUCGGUUUGGGACAAGGUAAUUCAAAGGGAUGAUAGUUUAAACACUCAUGAGAUAAUAUUGAUAGGUUUACAACAGAACUUGGGUGUUAAGAGUAGAAUAGCAAUGGAGGGCUAUGUGCGGAUCUACAGGGGCUGAGGCCCAGAAGCUGUUUGCUCAUUUGGAAUAGCAAGUCCUGCUACAAACAGAAAGAACCGAGUCUGAUAUCGCUGCUUAUUUUCAUUGUUGUUCAGAAGCGGCAGGAGGUAAUGCCCAGCGUGUUCCAAUUCACAUACCUACUCCAACUUUAUUGCCAUUUCUAAACCGGAUCAAGUUCCACCAUAGUUUCCAUGGGGAAAGUUUCUUCUUUCCUCCCUGCAGGAUUUCAGAGCAGAGUCUCAGCAUCACUUUGAGAAUUGCACGGCCCAGCCAUCAGGUUUUGGGGAAAAGGUGGGGCAGUUGUGGUUUUGGAUUGAAGGCUAAUAGAAUGAAAGAGCAUGUCCCAUGUUGCAAGUGGAGGAGGAGCACUACACACUGGGAAAAAUUCAGAGGUGGUAGAGAAGCCUGUACAUGGGUGAUAGAGGCAAGAUUCCAGCAACGAGGACCCUGUCUUUGACCGCAUGGGACUGCCAUGUACCAACUUCACUCUAUGGUUCACUACUACCACUUCGAUGAGCAAGUCUCGCUGUGCCUUGAGCAACAGGGUUCGGGAAAAGAGAAGAACCGGUAUGUCCUUCAGCACAAGUACAUUCACUGUUCAGUCUGGGCCCAGAUCUGCCAUCUCCUGUGUUACCCUUUGGAGCUGGCCCUGCCACACAUGCACAUGCUCUUUGACAACAAGGUACUCUUGGACCACAUGAUGCUGACACCGCUCUGGCUCUCCUGCUGGUUAUGCAAGCCCGCCCAGUUGCUCCUGCACUGCAGCAUGAAGAAGAAGAGGAGGUGGGGAGGGCCGAGAUGGAGUGCCUCCAAGACCAGACUUUAAACAUUUGCUUCAAGAUGUAUGUAUUUUGGGAAUAAAAAAACUGAAAAAACAAAACAAAAUGUUACUGAAUCCCGGUCCAUUUGCAAGAAACCAAAAAGAAGAUGCCCAUGACCUGCUAAACAUGAGAAAAAACAGUCCCAUAUCACAAAGUGUAGUAUGUUAGUAUGUAAGUAUAUAAGCACAUACAUAUUAGUAUACAAGUAUAUAUACUUUGUGACAUGGGACUGUAUUCUAAGAUGUUCAGCACCAGUAUCUUCUCGAUUUCCGGUUUCAGGAAGUAGGGACUGACAUUUCUACGGAAGGCUAUAGCAAGUGUGCCAAGAGCUAGGAAUCACGAGUCAACUGCCCUGUGAUGGCAGAAAAAAAGGCAGGAAUCACAAGAGAAAGCCCCCUGAUGUAAGGCAUUCCUGUUGACCAGUGGAGCAUCGGAUCACAGGCAGGAAAGGGGGAUCAGUUCUUUUUUGACUUCUUGUAGAUGAUGUUAUUAAUCUGAAAUGGCAGCAAAGGAAGAAGAAGAUGAGUUGAGAAAAAAGGGUUUACAUAGAGAUAAUUCUUCCUGGGAGUUGCAAGAUAGGGUUGCCAACCUCCAGUUGGACCUGGAGUGUUCCUCAGGAGGGUCCAAUGGUGAUCUCAUUGAGGUUCUGCAAACAAAAUGUCACGGACUCCCUGACCAUUUGCAAGAAACCAUACAGAAAAUACACAUCUGCUAAACAUGAUAAAAAACAAUUUCAUGUCACAAAGUAUAGAAUGUAAGUAUGUUAGUAUGUAAGCAUAUAAAGAUGUAUGUAAGUGGAUCAGUACAUUAAUAUAAGUAUAUAACUAUAUACUUUGUGAUGUGAGAUUGUGUCUUAUGAUGUGUAUCAGGUCAAGUGUCUUUAUGGUUUCUUGCACUUUGAAGCUGGUGGUCCGAUGGCGGGGGGGGGGGGGGUGGUCCGAUGGCGAACUCAAUGGUCACUGAAUCCCUGUCCAUUUGCCAGAAACCGUACAGAAAAGACACCAUCAUCUGCUAAACAUGAUAAAAAAACUGUUCCGUAUCACAAAGUAUAGAAUGUAAGUAUGUUAGUAUGUAAGUAUAUAAGUACUUAAAUAUUAGUAUAUGUUAGUAUAGAAGUAUAUAUACUUCGUGAUAUGGGUCUGGUUUUUAUCAUGUUUACAGACAGUAUCUUUUUGAUGUCUGGUUUUGGGCAAAUUGUUAGGGAUUCAGUGACAUUUCCGCUGAUAUGAUUUCCGGGUGCCAUCAGACGAUAGGCCUGGGAGAAUGAUUCAUAUGCCCUGAGGACACACCCCUUACCUUCAUCCAGGCUGGGCUCUUCUUCUGUCUUGUCAUCUUCCUCCUUGGUUGAGCAUGCUGCCACCUGCUUCUUGGUUGGGUUUGCAGAUGGGAAGUCAGGCAUUGUCUGAGUGGUUAAUUUAUGCCUUUUCGGCUUGACAGGAACAAGAGCCAUGCUCCACGCUGGAGGAAAAUGCAAAGGGCAAAAGAUGAGAAAUAUUUCACUGGGGGAGCAGUCAGUCUUCUGUUUCAGAAUUUUUUCAGGUGCAAUGUCUGUUGUCUCACAUUUGGGCAGGGUACUAGGCAGGAAAAAUUUCCAGACUGUGGUCACCCUGUGGGCCUGUAGAGUUGGACCAGACAUGUGUCUUGGCAUUGAAGGAAGUUUGGAGAGGGUCCAGGUGGUGUGAUGAGGAGUACACAGAGAGGGUGAUCAACCUCAAGGUGGGACCUGGAAUUGUCCCAGAAUUAGCACUAGUCUCCAAUCUUAGUUGCCUUGUAGAAAAUGGCUGCUUUGGGGGGGUGCAUUCUAUAGCAUUGUACCCUGCUGACCCCUUCCCAUCUUCUCCAGGCUGCACCCCCCAAAAUAUCUAGGAAUUUCCCAAACUGACGUUGGUAGCCCUAGUGUGCCGGUGGGGAGGGGAACUCUUACAUUGCAUCCAACUAUGCAUUUUUUUAUUGUUUAACAUGUCAUGUUACUAUUUUACCUUUUGUUUCACUUAUGUUUUCAGAUUUCUGUUAGUUCCAGAUCUCUAGAAUCCAAACGCUGAUUGCAUUGUUUAUUGGAUGUCCCAUCCUGUUAAUUGUAUAGACUUACUCUAUGUAGUUCACCUUCAGUCCCAGUGAGAAAGGUGGACUAUAAAUGUGACAUAAAUCUCCAACUCUUGUGGCGGAAAAAUCAUAAGAUAUAGUUGAAAUUUUACCACUCCCUCCCCCCCAUGUUGGACCAUGAUUUUGGGAAUUUUUAUCCUCAAUUUUUUUUUAAAAAAAAAUCUCUACUGCUAGAAAAUCUUGUGAAUAGCUUCUUUGGUAUAAUAUUGAACAAUUACAUUUCAUGCUGUUCUUCCUACUCUAUCAGUUCUAAUUAAAUGAUCUUUAGUGUAUGAGUUUCUGCUAGAAUAAAACAUUUGUUCGUUUUUUAA